AGAGUUUGAUCAUGGCUCAGGAUGAACGCUAGCGGCAGGCCUAACACAUGCAAGUCGAGGGGUAACAUAGAAAAGCUUGCUUUUCUGAUGACGACCGGCGCACGGGUGCGUAACGCGUAUACAACCUACCUUUUAGCGGGGAAUAGCCCAGGGAAACUUGGAUUAAUGCCCCAUAGUAUAUGGACUUCUCCUGAGGUUUAUAUUAAACAUUUAUGGCUAUUAGAUGGGUAUGCGUCCUAUUAGUUAGUUGGUAAGGUAACGGCUUACCAAGGCAGCGAUAGGUAGGGGUCCUGAGAGGGAGAUCCCCCACACUGGUACUGAGACACGGACCAGACUCCUACGGGAGGCAGCAGUGAGGAAUAUUGGACAAUGGGCGAGAGCCUGAUCCAGCCAUGCCGCGUGCAGGAAGACUGCCCUAUGGGUUGUAAACUGCUUUUACAGAGGAAGAACCACCCCCACGUGUGGGGGUUUGACGGUACUCUGCGAAUAAGGAUCGGCUAACUCCGUGCCAGCAGCCGCGGUAAUACGGAGGAUCCAAGCGUUAUCCGGAAUCAUUGGGUUUAAAGGGUCCGUAGGCGGGCAGUUAAGUCAGUGGUG
rnacentral:rRNA from 1 species